CGCACUUCCGGUAGCGCAUCUUUCGAGAGAUGAAGGUACAGCGAGAACCGCUAGCCGACUUGGGGAGGGCAGCGAAAGGGAUGUUGAUGAGACUGUGAGAACUGGAUUGUCUGGAGAAAAGGAAAAGAGUCCUGAAGUCAGCCUAUCAAACUACCUGGAAGGAGUUUCAUUAUAAUCUAGGAACCAGAUGUAGGGUCGUUGCUUCACAAUCAUGAUGGACGGAUGAUGGACUGAUGAUGGACCAUUUAAAGGAAUAUAAUUAAGCAAGUGUAUAA